UACCCUAGGGUUUCUACCUAGGGUUUGGGAAGUGAGAUUGGUGUGCCACGAGUGUCGUGAGUCCACCAAAUUUCAGAGAGAGAUCCAUCAGCCUCUCAAGCAAUCGUGCAAAUGAUCCAGAGUAUCCAAGGAGUCGGCACACAUUGAUCGAAGGAGUUCGAUCAACAUCUGCCAUCAAAAGGGUGAAAUCACGAACUAGCAUUCGUGAGGAGC
rnacentral:lncRNA from 1 species